UGGGGAAUAUUGCACAAUGGGCGCAAGCCUGAUGCAGCCAUGCCGCGUGUAUGAAGAAGGCCUUCGGGUUGUAAAGUACUUUCAGCGGGGAGGAAGGGAGUAAAGUUAAUACCGUUGCUCAUGGACGUUACCCGCAGAAGAAGCACCGGCUAACUCCGUGCCAGCAGCCGCGGUAAUACGGAGGGUGCAAGCGUUAAUCGGAAUUACUGGGCGUCAAGCGUACGCAGGCGGUUUGUUAAGUCAGAUGUGAAAUCCUCGGGCUCACCCUGGGACCUGCAUCAGAGACCGGCAAGCUUGAGUCUCGUAGAGGGGGGUAGAAUUCCAGGUGUAGCGAUGAAAUGCGUAGAGAUCUGGAGGAAUACCGGUGGCGAAGGCGGCCCCCUGGACAAAGACUGACGCUCAGGUGCGAAAGCGUGGGGAGCAAACAGG
rnacentral:rRNA from 1 species